rnacentral:rRNA from 1 species
GACGAACGCUGGCGGCGUGCUUAACACAUGCAAGUCGAACGGAAAGGCCCUGCUUUUGUGGGGUGCUCGAGUGGCGAACGGGUGAGUAACAAGUGAGUAACCUGCCCUUGACUUUGGGAUAACUUCAGGAAACUGGGGCUAAUACCGGAUAGGAGCUCCUGCUUCAUGGUGGGGGUUGGAAAGUUUCGGCGGUUGGGGAUGGACUCGCGGCUUAUCAGCUUGUUGGUGGGGUAGUGGCUUACCAAGGCUUUGACGGGUAGCCGGCCUGAGAGGGUGACCGGCCACAUUGGGACUGAGAUACGGCACAGACUCAUACGGGAGGCAGCAGUGGGGAAUAUUGCACAAUGGGCGGAAGCCUGAUGCAGCAACGCCGCGUGCGGGAUGACGGCCUUCGGGUUGUAAACCGCUUUCGCCUGUGACGAAGCGUGAGUGACGGUAAUGGGUAAAGAAGCACCGGCUAACUACGUG